AUGCUUACCUGGCAGGGGAGAGACCAUGAUCAUGAAAGUGGUAUUCCUAGGACAAGGCUAGACCAUUGCACUUUGGGUGUGCUGACUCCUGCAAUGUCCCCUAUUGCGGGAUACUAGACUGCAAAAUUUGUGGUAUCGUUAUGAUGCUGCCUAUUAAUC